UAUCACUACAGUUGUGUACUGCACUGGGUUACUGUAUUACACAGCAGUUCUGAAACAGCAAGAGGGCUUCUGCUGUGAUCCCACGUUGCUGUUUGAUAGCUGCAAACCUCACUGAAGAGUCUGUGAAAUUUCCAGCUGCUCAUCUCACUGCAUCCUGGUUAGCUCAAGCAAGGGCUGGCCAUGUAACAUGAGCAAACUCUGCAUUGGAUCUCCAGUGACCUGGUUUAAAAACAAACAUUGAAAACAAAACAAACACUUUUCAGAGCGGGCUUCUCAUAGCUGCUGUAGAUCUCAGUGUGUGCUCUGUGUCCUGCACAAUUCAUUUUAGGGAACUUCAGGCAGAGCUGUGGGUCUGGGUGGGGAUCUCUGAUAUUUCCAUCACUGCAGGGUGUUUUCCAGUUCCUUCUCUAUGAUCACGACCCAAUUAUACAAAUACAGUCAGCUUUUAAUGUACAAAAACCACUCCUACUUGCACGUUUACUCAACUAAAUUGUAAAUAUCCAUACUUUCAUAGUUAUAACACUGACAAGGAUUUCACCAACUGUCCUUCCCUCCGAAAUCCUUUUCCAGAUUGCAGGGCAGAAAAGAUUUCUGUUCCCAGUCCACUUGGCAUGCAAGUCAAAAUAGCCCGGGCCUCUUCUGCCAGUGGCUGAAGUGAAGACGCCCAACACUGUGCUGAGGGAUGACAAGCCACAGCCCAGGAGCUCAGCUGUGCCACUGAUGACUGCCCUCAAACAGGUGGGAGCAGCCGAGAUCCAGACAUUUCUUGCUGCUCACAGAGGGAAUGAGUUCCCACACCUGGUGCUUCUCAGAUCUCGCUCAGCAGGACACAGACAGGGCUGCUUCCCUGCCCUGCAGUGACACACGGAGGGCAGGAUCUGGAAGCAGUGCUGAUGCACAGCAUCCUACUAGUACAUUCUGUCUUUUGCUUGGCAGCCAAACGUGGGACUUCCUUCUGAUGCCAUGUUGCCUUUCACUUACAUCGGAUUGUGAGGGGUUGUUUCAUCGGCAACAAAAGAGUGAAAUGGAAUAAGGAAUAAACAAGAAGCAAGACAAAGCUGUCACUGCAUUUGUUACCAGCUGAAAGAAAAAGAGGCAAAAACCUCCUGCAGCAGAGACUUGAUAAUCACUUUCCCAAACGAUACUGUUAUUGUAAUUGCCAAACUCUUUGUAAAGCAGCAUAUAGCUACAGUCAUUGCAGCGCUGGAAUUGUCCACGAGGACGAACAUGUAGCAUAGAAAAGAAAUAAGGAUGGUACCAUCAGUGAAAAUCUUCAUUAUCGGGAGAGGGUGGAGAAGCUGAGAUCAUCUUCAAAGAGAAAGGAAAGUGCUUCAGGGGCAUUUCUACAUAUUUUCAGGUCAGCGAAA
rnacentral:lncRNA from 1 species